UUAAAACAGCUCUGGGGUUGUACCCACCCCAGAGGCCCACGUGGCGGCUAGUACUCCGGUAUUGCGGUACCCUUGUACGCCUGUUUUAUAC
rfam:Human poliovirus 1 Mahoney, complete genome